rnacentral:rRNA from 1 species
GAUGAACGCUGGCGGCGUGCCUAAUACAUGCAAGUCGAGCGAACAGACGAGGAGCUUGCUCCUCUGACGUUAGCGGCGGACGGGUGAGUAACACGUGGAUAACCUACCUAUAAGACUGGGAUAACUUCGGGAAGCCGGAGCUAAUACCGGAUAAUAUAUUGAACCGCAUGGUUCAAUAGUGAAAGACGGUUUUGCUGUCACUUAUAGCUGGAUCCGCGCCGCAUUAGCUAGUUGGUAAGGUAACGGCUUACCAAGGCAACGAUGCGUAGCCGACCUGAGAGGGGGAUCGGCCACACUGGAACGGAGACACGGUCCAGACUCCUACGGGAGGCAGCAGUAGGGAAUCGGCCGCAAUGGGCGAAAGCCUGACGGAGCAACGCCGCGUGAGUGAUGAAGGUCUUCGGAUCGUAAAACUCUGUUAUUAGGGAAGAACAAAUGUGUAAGUAACUAUGCACGUCUUGACGGUACCUAAUCAGAAAGCCACGGCUAACUACGUG